rnacentral:rRNA from 1 species
AUUGAACGCUGGCGGCAUGCCUUACACAUGCAAGUCGAACGGUAACGCGGGGCAACCUGGCGACGAGUGGCGAACGGGUGAGUAAUGCAUCGGAACGUGUCCAGUAGUGGGGGAUAGCCCGGCGAAAGCCGGAUUAAUACCGCAUACGACCUACGGGUGAAAGGGGGGGAUCGCAAGACCUCUCGCUAUUGGAGCGGCCGAUGUCAGAUUAGGUAGUUGGUGGGGUAAAGGCCUACCAAGCCGACGAUCUGUAGCUGGUCUGAGAGGACGACCAGCCACACUGGGACUGAGACACGGCCCAGACUCCUACGGGAGGCAGCAGUGGGGAAUUUUGGACAAUGGGCGCAAGCCUGAUCCAGCCAUGCCGCGUGCGGGAAGAAGGCCUUCGGGUUGUAAACCGCAUUUGUCAGGGAAGAAAUCUUCUGGUUAAUACCUCGGGAGGAUGACGGUACCUGAAGAAUAAGCACCGGCUAACUACGUGCCAGCCGCCGCCGUAACAC